CUCUCACCCAGGUCACCAAUGACUUCUCCAAGUCCAAAGGCUAGUUCUCUGUCUUCAUCUUAUUCAUCAGACACUUUGACAGAAGUAACCACUCACUCUUCUCUGAAACCCCUUCUUUGCUUGCUUUAGGGAUGCCACUGUCUCCUGGUUGUCCUUCCUAGGUUACUCCUUCUCACUCUCCUUUCCUGAUUUUUCCCUCCCUCAUCCAUGCUGCGGGAAACUGCCCUUCCUCCACCUGGCGAGGGCAAAGGACUGGAGGUUUACUCUCUAGAAAGGGUGAAACAGAGGUCUCUGAACUAGAUGUCAACCAGCACAAUUGAGAGGGAACAAGGCCCUGGACUUGCCUGGCCUGAAUAUUACAUGAGGCCCAGUAGUCCUGCUCUUCCCCCUCUGCCCAACCCAUGUGAAUGCAGAAUGGAAGCUGGCCAAGCCUCCAGCAUCCCACCUGCUUUGCAACUGAAAGAAAGAAGAAUUGGAGGAUCAGAGAGACCGGAAAUCACACAGGUGGUAAAUACAAGAGCCGGGACUAAGACCCUGAAGUAUGUUUCCAAAACUCGUGGCCUCUGUCUCUAA
rnacentral:lncRNA from 1 species